ACAUAAUAUCAAAGCGGCAUUUAGCAUAUUAGGAUCAAACACGUAAAAAUCAGAUAAUAAGCAAAAGCAAAGUAUCACAGUUAUUCUAAAAUCGAAUUAUGAACCAUGAACCAGAGAUUCUGGGUUUGAUUCUCCCAGCAGAGUAGCCAGAUCUGGCACACCUCAUUUUUCCCGAGGGGUAGGGAGUUUUUUCAAUUAAUGUAUCAUUGUUCGAAAUGAGAUUAUUUAUUGAUUCAGAGUCGCCACUUGAAAUAAUUUAUGGUGUUUCAAAUCACCGAUUUAUUUUAAAUACCAAAUCGAGGAAAUUUGACUCUUAUUUAUGGUCUGCGAAUACAGAAGACCGAGUAAGGAAUCUUGUAAACCCGGGAGAAGGUGUGAGGCACUCCCGAGUUCCGUGAUUUUAGCACGGUCGCUCAACUAUUAUUAAUUGGCCUAAUUAUCUAAAUUAUUAUAUGGUCAGAACCUAUUGUGUAUUUUUAACUUUCUAACCGCUUUUAUUUAACCAUUUUUAGUAUUUAUGGAAUAUGUUUGAAUAAGCCGCGAUGUCGCGCACUCAUUUGUUUUUGUAAAAACUGCGAAUCCAUCACGUGAAAUGCACCCACGAUUUACAACAUGUUUAUUUUAUUAUUAUCUGAUGUUAUGGUCGAGUCAUGUGAAACGCACACUCGAAUUAGGAUUUUGUAUCAUGACUAUGCCACGGGAACCGUACCCAUAGUCACGAUGAUUUAUUAAUUGCGCAUAAAUCAAGCUUGAUGUUCAUGAAUAAUUAUUAUUCCUAUGUUUAAGAUCGAUCAUGAAGGUCCAAAGUUUAUGGAAAAGCAUAUGGCAAUGCUUAACUAGACAACUUCAAUUAUUUAACAAGUUCAAAUUAAUGUCUUUUGUUUUUCCUUCAAAUGUUGAUGGAGCUCACGUCAAACAAGGAAAACCACUAAUAAUAAACUAAGUGGGUGUUCUUUUCUUGAUUACUUAUAUCAAACAUGGAUUAUUGCUAGAAAAAUUAUGGGAAGCCUCACUGCGCUGGGCCUUCAUAUUAAACCUCCAAUUAGGUCAUGCAAACAAGAACAGAAAUGGGUUCACUGGAAUCCGAAAGUGACUCUUGAAAAUGGCUAGCCCUUUAAGUAGGCCAACAAAUCUUUUGUGGGGCCUUAAACCAUUAAUCCAUACAUUUGUCGAGUCCAAACUGACUCUCAUUUCAUACACGAUCCAUCGACGUGUAGUUUUCUUAACGUGAUUUUGAAAGGCAUAAAUCAAUUAAUACACAUGUUUAUACUACAACAUAUUCAAUAUAUUGAAGAAACAGAACCAAAGAAGAACGUAUCCACACAUGUAAUUUCUUCUAACAAACUACAGUAUCAUUCAUUAUUACAUUCACAAUUACCAAGAUCUAGAGCAUAUAACAAAUUUACAUGCUUUCAGUUCCAUAUGACCUUCAACGAAUGACCUUCAGCUAUCCAAAUUUCCUAUGACUUUACCUGUUUCUCAUUAAAGAUUUAUCCAAAUACUUAAUUUUUCUAGUAAUUUCAGAGAUUAAAAAAGGAAAGAACUUCAAAUAGAUUUAGACUUUAGACAUGUUGAAUCCAAACUAUUGAACAUGAUUAGAGAAAGCAGUAUCAUAAUCUUAACAUGGAAACAAUUCAAAAUGCUUAACAACUACACAUGCUAAGUCUAUGCAUUUGGACAUAAUUAUGACAAAUAGAUCGAAUUUUCUCAUAUAGACUUCAAACAGGGGCAACAGAUAUGUGAACAUACCUAAGUAACCAAAGAAUAACAGAGAAUGGUCAAAGGAUGGUUUGAAAAUGAAAUAGGAAAUCCAGCAAGUCCAGCAGCAGUGGAUUCAAUAACUUCAACACCUCUAACAGCUCAAUCGACUCAGAGAAAACCAGAAAAUAUAGUGAUUGAAUAGAAAUCAGAAAACCAACUCUAGACAUCCUUCUUCAUCCCUUUUUAUGACCUUUUUCCUUGCCUUUUUGGGAGUUUUAAACUUUUUCUAAAUCUGAAGACUAGAGGUUGAAAUCCAGAGUUUUGUUUGAAUUAAAAAAAAUGAGGAGAAGAUAGUGAAUUCUCUUAAAAUUUCUCUCGACAGUGUGAAAAUUUGUCUCAAAAACGAAGAAAAGAGUAUGAAUUUCAGAGUGUGUUUUCGUGUGUGUGAGUGAGUAAUAUAUGGCCCUCUUAUAUAGAGUGUGAGAAUAUGUUAUGUGCACACAAAAAUUAGAGAAUAA
rnacentral:lncRNA from 1 species